rnacentral:misc_RNA from 1 species
CGGUACCGGUUCCCGAUCCGGUGCCUAGUCCGCAGCCAAUGCCGGACCCGCCGCCGAAUGAAGAACCGAUUAAAU